UACAGAGGUCUCAACCGUUGUUCGGAAUCACUGGGCGUAAAGGGAGCGUAGGCGGCGUGGUAAGUCAGAUGUGAAAUCCCGGGGCUCAACCCCGGAACUGCAUCCGAUACUGCCAUGCUAGAGGAUUGGAGAGGUAGCUGGAAUUCUUGGUGUAGCAGUGAAAUGCGUGGAGAUCAAGAGGAACACUCGUGGCGAAAGCGAGCUACUGGACAAUAUCUGACGCUGAGGCUCGAAGGCCAGGGUAGCGAAAGGG
rnacentral:rRNA from 1 species